rnacentral:lncRNA from 1 species
GUUGAACCCCACAUCAAUUAUACUAAAAGAUAAUUAAUAGUUAGUUUAAAUAUCUUAACUCCACUCUAACUAACAUCGAGACAUUUUGUGAUAAAAUCUCACACCAUAAAAUUUCAUAUUUGACAGAUUGUGCGGGUGGUAAUUAUCAAGUUGGGGACAAUAUUGGUGUUAUUACAUUCCAUUGCCCCAAUAAGCAUUGAGUUCUGCACAUUGCCGAGCGAGUACCAAAUGCGAUGAGGCGGAUUAGGGACAGCAACACCCGCUAUGAUAACAGUAUCAACAUGUAGAUAGGUGAAAUUGUUUGCAAACUCGUCAUUUGAGGAAAUAUUCUUAGAAAACACAAAAGGUACGUCCUACACCAAACACACGACCUUUGAAAUAUAACACUACAUAAUGAGGUGCAGCUUAUUGGUUCAAACUUUAACUACAGAUUGCAGUGCAACAGAUCAGUUCAAACUUAAGCUCAUAUCGCACGCUCAGCUUCAUUUUCUUUCCAGGCUUCCUUACUUCUUUCGACACAGCUUCGCUCCAAGUGCUCUCUCCAACUUGGUAAUCACCUGCUGAUUUGGAAUCGCCUUCCCAGAUUCAUGCUCUUGGAUCACUUGAGGCUUCUCAUUGAUGAUCUGCAAAUAACCCCGUGAUCAUCAUCAGUAAUUGUGUACACGUGCGUGUGUGAGAGAGACAGAGAUAAUGAAAUAUUAAUAUUGGAGUUGUUGUACUAACAGUAAUAUAAAACACCAAGAUAAAUGGUUGGUGGAAGAGGCCACGGGUAGAUGCCUUAGUUGGGAUAUAUGAGAGAGAGCGCAAAAAUGUGUGUGCAAGCAUAGCUUGUCACCACAGUGUGCAAGUCAAGAGCUUGUCACCAGAAACUGUGGAGUUAGAAACAAACCUAGACUCUAAACACAGAGCCGGCCUAUAUGAGUUCCAAGAAACACCAACAAUCAUGAAAUGAAGGAAAACAAAUUUGGACUCCAAUGGAGCCGACUUCUGAGUUUCGAAGUUUAUAUUUUUCUUCUUCUCUUCCUUGUCAAAAUUCCAACAAGAGAUAGAUAGAUACUUGAGCAAGUUGAGCCUGGGUACGCUUCUUACCAGUUCGAGCUUGCAUGAUAGCUUUCUUCAGCUCACUUGGCACACGUUCAUCUAUUUCAAAAUCAGAUGACACUAAAGCACGAAACCAAAUAGUAGACAAGAGAAAAACCAUCCAGGCAAACAACAAAUAAAUAACUUUGCUGGAUUGCUUCAAUAUAUUUCAGCUGGAAAAGAACCAGAACAUAGAUUCAAAGAAUAUAUAUUAAACCAGAUUGAGGAGCCCAUGCUGGCUCUAAUUGUGGAGGGGAGAGUACGCAAGGACAAGCACACAUACAUUAAUAUAAUUGUAAUUAUAACUCUAUAACUAAAAUAGAGAGAUGUAAAAGGACUACAAACUUUUCCAUUGGCACCAAAACAAGCCAUAGCAUAUGUCUAAACCACACGUUAUGUUGAGCGAGGUCAAGAGUAAGGAAAACUUCAGAGAAAGCAAACAUACAACGAAGAGAAUCUUAGAAUACCACUAGUGCAUAUGAGAGAACAACAACAAAGUCUUAUCCUGCUAAGUGUUGGCUACUAGAGAGGACAACCGAUGCCAAAAAAUAUCAUAGCUACAUAUAUAACAACAACCAAAAAUGAUCUGUGAAGCAAAGGACUUUAUUGUUUUAGCCUCUAUGUUUGUCUAUAGCCAGUUAGGUCCAAUGAACUACUGAAAAGCAUCCUGGCACCAAGUCAAACCAUGAACUCUCCUCCUCCCAUCCGCAUUCCUCGAUGUAACGGUCAUGUCAAGAUAGCAACAGUAUUGGGGAAGAAAGAGGAGAGAAAGACGAUGGACCCUGGGGGGGUUCAACUCCAAAGUUCGAUUUCAAAUUGAAAUGAAGAGGAUUCAAGGAGCAGUACAUACACACAUUAUAUGUAUGAAGAAACGAACCAUGCAACCAACUUGGCAAAAGAAACAAUAGGCCAGAUGCCACACUCUAGUGUUCCUGCAACUGCAGGGUCUUCGGAAUAUAAACGGUAUACAGCCUCAAACCCACUUGUAAAGGGGUUGUUUCCCAUUUCAAACCCGUGACCUCAGAGUUCAAUGGAGCAAACCAUACAAAUGCGCUGAAAGAAUUUUUACCACCUACAAAAGUAGGGAUAAAAAUAUUUAAAAAUACUUGCAAAGGUGCAAGGUUAUCGUAGUAUAGUUGGCUCUAGCAAGGUCUUUCUCCAUAGGGAUUGAAUGAAUAAUUUAUGUUAAAACCAAAUCUUAAUUAAUUAUUUGAAAACAAAGUUUGAAAAAAGGUGAUUUUAUGACCUAAAAUAUUAAAAACGAAUUUAAUUAAAAACAAUUAAAUAAAUUGAGAAAGUAAAGAAAACAAAAGAAAAUAGUUUUGAAAAUAAAUUUGAGCACUAGGGUUCCACCAUCACCUUAAAAAUCAUACGUAGUUCUUCCAAUUACUUAUGACUUACCCAUUCAAUGCAUAUUUUGAAGGUUAGGUUUUCCUAAAGCAUGUCAUACUUGAAACCUCCAACAUAAAACAUAUAUUUAACAUACAACCCAUCUGUAGCGUCUAGAUCGAAUGUGAACAUGCAAAACUCAUUAAGUUUUGUGAAAACUUUUUAAAAAACCAUGUAACCCUUAUGACGUGUCGUCGAUCCUAAAAACUUACACAUAUUAGCCACAAGAAGCCUUCGUCAAUUUCAGGGACAAUCCCCCUCCAAAAUUGCAUCAAAUUACUUUUCUAAAUAUCCUAAUGGUGGCCAAUCAUCAAGACAAGUAGAUAGUUUUAAACACGGUGAUUAAUAAUUCAAAACUGCAUGCAUAAUAUCAUAAAUAAAUUGAAAAGAAACUACAUAUUCUUGCUAAGGCUUAUGACCUAACCCUAACAAACGAAAUUAGUUACUAACAAUCAUAAAACAAAAUAUCAUUAAGAACAUAGAUAGAAAACACCUUGAAAAUAAAUUUGAAUCGUCAAAAGCUCUCUAAUCAGAAUUCUCCAAAGUAAUGCGUUCUUCUUUUCUCUUACCCUAAUGGCUAAAUAGCCUUAUUUAUAUACUACAAAAUAAAACCCUAACUAGAAAAGGUCUUCUAAAAACUAGGAAACAUAAUAGAAUAAGAUAACUAGGAAAUAAAAGGUUUCCUAUUUAAACUAAAAUUCAGACUGCAGAUAAAAUCCAUCUUUUGACCAACCAAAUCAACUCCGAUUUGGUCCCAAAAUAUCUCUUUUUAAAUCUUGAGACAUCCCUAACAAAUCCUCAGAAGGAAUCUUCCUCAAAAUAUGCCAUCUUGACCUUCAAAGUACUCAAAACGUCAAGAAACGUCAAUUCGAAAAAUCUGCACUUUGGGCCUUUAUUUAAUCACCAUGGUCAAACGGCAUGGUAGAAACGUGGACAACACAACUCAUGUAAGGUCCCUCCUCUCAUUAAUUCAUUAUCAACACACCCUCUCACAUAGGACGAAUUUUCAAGUCUGCGUGGACAACACAACUCAGGUGACAUGAAGCGUGUGUGAGCGUUGGACAAUGUGGGACAACCUACUCUGGCACCCUGAAGAAAGUUGAGGUUCUACUAUAAAACUAAUUGGCAAUAUAGGGAGUAGCACAACCUCUUAUAAACCCUUGCAAAGUUUCUCCUCUCAUUAAUGUGAAACUCUUUUACCUUCAUAUCCUCACACACAGUAACUAUUAGAAUUACAACUUCGAAAAUUAUAAAAUGGAGUAAGCAACCACCCCAUAAAAUAAACUUUUAUACCCGAUCCUAUGGCACACCAAGUUGGAAAGAAACUAAAAGUCUAAUACCAUAUUGUUGUUCCUAAAAACUACCAAGCCUACGUAGUGCGCAAACCGAGUAACUAAUGAGCUAACUACGUCCUUCAAUUGUGUGCGGGGCGUGCCAACUCGUCAACCGAGCUCGGCCGGGAAGUAGAAUGCGUUGCGUGGCGUUGGGCGUGCUGCUGACCUUUUAAUCUUAUGACUGUGGCCGAGGAAGGAACACAUCUCGGCCUUCAGGUUCUAGAGCCUAAAGGCAAGGUUGCUAGUUUUAUGAAGUUCACAAAUCGUCGGCGUCAGAUUUGAUCAUAGUGAUUAUAUUCGUAAAAGUAUAAGCACGCCGAAUCGACACCAAACUAUAUGGGCACAAGCACUCAAAGAAAAUGUGCAUCUUAAUCAUUAACGUAUUUCAGCCGUCAGAAUGCCGAACUCUAAAUCCCACUUGUGAGUAUCCAAUCAUAAAACAACUCGGUGUUCUAUGCUCCGAGCCCAGUAAUGUGUAACACCUCACCUCGCCUAAAAGGCUAAUGAGAUGACCUCUGCCAAUAAGGAUUCAAAAUCCUUCUCGACCGAGACUUGGAUAGAUAAUCAGUCGGCCUUGACGUAGUGCUGUUUAUCCAAAUUGAAGGUGCUUCGCGAUAGAUUGAUUCUACGGCAACAAUGUCGUUUAUCCAAACUGAAGGUGUUCGCCGAUUGCCUUCACAUUGCUGUUUAUCCAAACUGAAGAUGUGUUGGCGAAAAAGAAAAUAAAAAUCUCAAGAUUGUUGAGAGGUUUCACAUAGAGCAAGAGUUUGCACAAGGCAGUUUGUCUGCUAAGUUGGAGAGGCUUAGAAUGAUGCACCCCUUUCUUAUUUAUAGCAGCCAAUCUCAUCAUGGCCGAACCAGGACUAUACUCGGAUUAGGAUUCUUUAUCCUAAUCUAACCAAGUCUCGGCCAAUCUUACCUCCACUAGGACCCUAAACCAAGCUCUUUAUCCGGCCAUUCACUUCUCAAAUCCCGGCAUCCUCAUUCCAAUAAUACUCCUUAUCAUACUAGAACUUGGCCCAUUCACUCUUAUCUAGAUCAAUCCUUCUUGCAAUAGGACUCGACCAACCUGACUAGGUAGCCCAUAGUACUCUUGGAAAAACUUUGGACCGAACAUAAACCUUCGCUUGGCCCAAUAAUAUUAUUUUGGGCCCAAACACAUACACAUCGACAACCGAAAUGCCAUUAGAAAAGGAAGAACAUUAAGAUUAUCGAGCCCGACAAUGACUACGAGAACCAAUGCACAUGGUGAGAAUCAUUCGCACAAACAAAUUAGAAAAGGGUAACGUUAGAGAGACUAAAUUUAAAGAUAAAAUUUGCAAAUUAAAUGAUGCGUCACCAAUAUAAAUGAGCACGUUUAUUAACGUUUUAGUAAUAAAUCAAUCAUUAACUUUUGUGUCCUUUAAUUUUCAAAAUUUUGUCUACAAAUUUAGUUUCCCUAACAUUAAUCAUUAGAUAAACCCCAUUAGCUACAAGCUAAUAUAAAUCAAACAAGAUAAUUGAGCUGGAACAGUGAACCAACAGCUACCCGAAUGGAAAAAAUUUGCUACCACCUUAUUUUUGUCUGUCCAUUACUUAGAUUUCAAAAUUUCAACUUAUAAAAACCUCACUUAAGGCCGUUCAAGAAUUGGCAUGCAGCAUCCAACCAUAUUUAAUUGUGACGUUAAAGUCAUUUUCUUGACUAACAAGGGUCUUCUUCCCACUUGCAAAAGCCACGGGUAGGUUAUCCCAAAUCCAACAUUUGGUUCAUCAAAACUUCCUUUCCAAUGGGCUUGACUAGUAGGAAGGGUCGACGAAGGUGAAUUGCAGCCCUCCUGAGGGAGGUGACUUUUGACUUAUAUUACAACUUGUACUUACUUUAGUUUUUAAUUACCAGUUGGUACCUUAGACUCAGUAAAAAUAAUAAUUUCUAAGUAGUAUUGUCUAGGUACGUACAUUUGCUGCUCUCAUGGAUUCUUGAUAUAUGAUAUAAUACCACUCGAUCGGCUAGAUUUCCACACAUGAAAGAUGGGCAACAAUAAUGCUAAACAUACAAAAACCACAAGCCAUACUCUCCCUACGACGUCCAUGGCCACUUACCAAACAGCUGAUCAUCCAGCAGCUGCUGCAUGGUCAGAGCUUCUAGGCUCAAACAACUGGGAUUGCCUCUUGGACCCUCUAGACCUCAAUCUCCGAACCCUCAUCCUCCGCUGCGGCAACUUCUGCCAGGCCACCUACGACGCCUUCAACAACGACCAAAACUCCAAGUACUGCGGAUCCAGCCGCUAUGGCAAACACUCCUUCUUCGACAAGGUCAUGCUCCAAGACGCCGCCAACUACCAAGUCUCUUGCUUCCUCUACGCCACCGCCCAAGUCAGCGUCCCCGAAGCCUUGCUUCUCAAAUCCAAGUCCCGCGAGUCGUGGGAUCGGGAGUCUAACUGGAUCGGCUACAUCGCCGUCACCACCGAUGAAGUCAGCAAAGUCAUCGGUCGACGUGAAAUCUACGUCGCAUGGCGCGGCACGAUUAGAAACUACGAGUGGAUUAAUGUGAUGGGAGCUGAGCUAGAGUCCGCGGAGAUCAUUUUAGGUUCUUCUCAUGCCAGCCUAGCGAAUGGUCAUCAAAAUCACGAUGACAAGGAUGACGAUGAAGAUGACGAAAAAGUGCCGAAAGUCAUGAGGGGUUGGCUUACAAUGUACAUUUCCAACGACCCGAAGUCCCCGUUUACGAAAACAAGCGCCAGAGUCCAACUUGUGACAAAAAUAAACGAGCUGAGGAACAAGUACAAGGACGAGAAGCUGAGCAUAACCAUGACAGGACACAGUCUCGGUGCGAGUUUGUCGGUUUUGAGCGCUUUCGAUUUGGCCGAAAAUGGGGUAUCCGAUAUCCCAAUUGCGGUUUUUGUAUUUGGUUGUCCACAUAUCGGAAACAAGGCACUGAAAAGACGGAUUGAGACGCACCCGAAUCUGAAGAUACUGCAUAUUAAGAACACCAUUGAUGUCAUUCCGCACUAUCCGGUCCAUGUAAUGGGGUACCGGAAGGUCGGGACGGAGCUUUUGAUUGAUACGAGGAAGUCACCGUUCUUGAAGGAGUCGAAGAAUCCGAGCGACUGGCAUAACUUGGAGGGGAUUCUGCAUGUGGUGGCGGGGUGGAACGGGGAGGAAGGGGAGUUUGAUCUGAGGGUGAAGAGGAGCGUGGCGUUGGUGAACAAGUCUUGUGAUUUUCUCAAGGAGGAGUGUCAUGUGCCGGCGGUGUGGUGGGUGGAGAAGAACAGAGGCAUGGUGCUUGAUAAGAGCAGCGGAGAGUGGGUGUUGUCUCCGCCGUCUGAUGAGGAUCUACCGGCCCCUGAGUUUUGACAGGUAGUGGUGGUGGUGGUGGUUGAUGGCGGCGGGACAAAGAAGAAGUGGUGGGUUCCGCCUUCAUAGGGUCAAGUCAAUGGUUCCAUAUCCAGUACUGUAAUGUUAUUUGUCUUGUUUAAGUUGUUUGUGCAGGUCUCUUUUGUUUAAUGUUGGUCAUUUCAUGGUGUUUCAUACAGUGAGCUAAUUUUUACACUAUUUUAAGUUUUUCACAUCUAUUUAAAAAUUCAGUUAUCAGAUUGAAUAAAUAAAACAAGAAAGAGACGCAAGAAAUUAAAAAAAAUUAUAUUUAUCAGUGUUGUAUGCACUUUUGAGUUUGGAUUUAAUGGAUUUAAUUAAUCCAUAGAAGAGAGAGGUAAAGCCAGUGGUUAUUAUUAAUUGUGACUGCUUGUAUCUGGCGGUUAUCAGUCUUUACUCUUUAUACAUACGAAUUGAUUGAUUAAGAUAUUAAGGCCUAGUCGAAUAGGAAUGACUAAUUUGGAUACAAUUAUUCACGACAUUGAAGGCAUUUUGAAGGAAGAAAUGAAAGAAAAUUUUCAUAUUUUGUCCAAAUUAAAAGUUACUCAAAGAAAAUAUAUCCUUACUAAUCCCCAAAAAAUAGAGAUUUGAAAGUUACCCAAAAUGCCUUUAAUAUAGUAGUUCUCUCUAUCAAACGAGUUCUAAAUAUAGAUAACGAUCUUGAGUGUGAGUUAGCAUUGAGUUGAACACAUUUGGACCGCACAUUGUUUGCAGACUCGUCAUUUGAGGAAUUAUUUUUAGAAAACACAAGGUACUUUCUACACCAGAAACACGACCUUUGAAAGAUUACAAAAUGAGGUGCAGCGCAUUAGCCCAAACUUCAACUACAGAUUGCAGUGCAACAGAUCAGUUCAAACUUAAAUUCAUAUCGCUCG